AGCCGGGUCGUCUAGCGGUCAAGGAUGCGGGGCUCUGGCCCGAGACAGCCCUCGGGGAGAACCCCCGUGACCGGGGUUCGAAUCCCCGCCCGGCUACCA
rnacentral:tRNA from 1 species